GACGAACGCUGGCGGCGCGCUUAACACAUGCAAGUCGAACGGUGAACGAGGGAGCUUGCUCCCUCCGGAUCAGUGGCGAACGGGUGAGUAACACGUGAGCAAUCUGCCCUGGACUCUGGGAUAAGCGUUGGAAACGACGUCUAAUACCGGAUACGAGGCGUGGGGGCAUCCCCAACGCCUGGAAAGAACUUCGGUCCAGGAUGAGCUCGCGGCCUAUCAGCUUGUUGGUGAGGUAACGGCUCACCAAGGCGACGACGGGUAGCCGGCCUGAGAGGGUGACCGGCCACACUGGGACUGAGACACGGCCCAGACUCCUACGGGAGGCAGCAGUGGGGAAUAUUGCACAAUGGGCGCAAGCCUGAUGCAGCAACGCCGCGUGAGGGACGACGGCCUUCGGGUUGUAAACCUCUUUUAGCAGGGAAGAAGCGAAAGUGACGGUACCUGCAGAAAAAGCACCGGCUAACUACGUGCCAGCCGCCGCCGUAA
rnacentral:rRNA from 1 species